UAAGCUACGGUGAGAAGCGUGAGUUGAACAUGCAGAAGUCAGUUCAAGUCAUAGUACCGAUGAAACCUGUGAAAGUAGGUAGGAGGGAAGGAC
rnacentral:ncRNA from 1 species